UACGUAGGGAGCAAGCGUUAUCCGGAAUUAUUGGGCGUAAAGCGUGCGUAGGCGGUUCUGUAAGUUAGGUGUGAAAGUUGUCGGCUCAACCGGCAAUUGCGCUUAAUACUGCAGAUCUAGAGGACAAGAGAGGAAAGUGGAACUCACAGUGUAGCGGUGAAAUGCGUAGAUAUUGUGAGGAACACCAGUGGCGAAGGCGGCUUUCUGGAUUGUUUCUGACGCUGAGGUACGAAAGCGUGGGUAGCGAACGGG
rnacentral:rRNA from 1 species